GCCCACAAACAGCAGGUGAAAGGUGUUGCAGUGAAGGCCUGGCAGAGCAUUAAAAAGGAGGAAACGCAGCGCCGGGGGAUUCCAUGAGUUCAAGACUUCAUUCAAACAGAGGUUUUCAACAAAGGCAUCA